rnacentral:rRNA from 1 species
GACGAACGCUGGCGGCGUGCUUAACACAUGCAAGUCGAACGGAAGGGCCCUGCUUUUGUGGGGUGCUCGAGUGGCGAACGGGUGAGUAACACGUGAGUAACCUGCCCCUGACUUUGGGAUAACUUCAGGAAACUGGGGCUAAUACCGGAUAGGAGCUCCUGCUGCAUGGUGGGGGUUGGAAAGUUUCGGCGGUUGGGGAUGGACUCGCGGCUUAGCAGCUUGUUGGUGGGGUAGUGGCUUACCAAGGCUUUGACGGGUAGCCGGCCUGGGAGGGUGACCGGCCACAUUGGGACUGGGAUACGGCCCAGACUCCUACGGGAGGCAGCAGUGGGGAAUAUUGCACAAUGGGCGGAAGCCUGAUGCAGCAACGCCGCGUGCGGGAUGACGGCCUUCGGGUUGUAAACCGCUUUCGCCUGUGACGAAGCGUGAGUGACGGUAAUGGGUAAAGAAGCACCGGCUAACUACGUG